AGGCAGCAGUGGGGAAUUUUCCGCAAUGGGCGAAAGCCUGACGGAGCAAUACCGCGUGAGGGAAGAAGGCUCUUGGGUUGUAAACCUCUUUUCUCAGGGAAUAAAAAAAUGAAGGUACCUGAGGAAUAAGCAU
rnacentral:rRNA from 1 species